AAUAAGUGUAGUUUUGCACAGUUAAUUUCUAACGUUUGAACGUCCGUCUUAUUUGAAUUUUUUUUAUAAUUACUAUUUUUAUUGUUAUUAUAUGAUAAAGUAUUAAUACUAUUUUAUGAGUGACUUUUUUUUAAAAAAAAAUAUAAAUAAAAUGGAUGGUCUAUUUCGAAACGGGGUUGUGUGUGCUGGCCUCGUU
rnacentral:pre_miRNA from 1 species